AUCAUCGAUUACGGUUAGGUACAUUCGCCGAAAUUCUUUGAUGUACAUCGUCCGAAGAAGAAGGAAAAAAAUUAGUCAGUUGGGACGAUAGUCAUCAUCAAUGAUGGGCAGCCAGCUGCCGUAUACAAUGUGUCGCCUAAACGCCUCCCUCCCUCCCUCUCUCUUUCUCUCCCUUUCCCUCUCUCUCCCUCUCUCUCUCUCUCUCUCUCUCUCUCUCUUUCUCUCUCUCCCUCUCUUUUUCUUUCUCUCCCUUUCUUUCUCUGUGUCUCUGUCUGUCAUUACCGAAAGUAGAGCAGUUAGGAUCUUGCUGCAUUAUAAAAUGGUCGUUAUCACGUGCGUAGAACUUUCCCUUUCCUUCUGAAUCGAUCUUCCAAAUAUCCUGGGAUCUGAAAAUAGUUUUACAUCGGGGAUUACAGGGCGUCAUGUCGGUAGGGUGGAUAAAAUAAGACAUGGACCAUCUAUGGCUCCAAUAUAUGAACAAAAGUAUAAACAAGACUUACAAGAAACUGAACAGGAUUCACGAAAGGAGAAGGAACAAUCAUCAAACGUUUACUAAUCGUUCAAAGGUUAUGUUCCGCACGAAAGAGCCGAGAUAGAACUGUCAAAGCAAAAACGGGAAGGAAAGAACCCGAUGGGGAAUAAAAGCAACGAAAAAUGGAUAAAAGUGUAAGAAAAAGAGGCAGUUCAAGAAUACGCUUGUAUUAUCAGAUUUGUAAUUUAAAAAAAAAAAAAAAAAAAAAAAAAAAAGAAAA